rnacentral:rRNA from 1 species
GGGGAAUCUUGCACAAUGGGGGCAACCCUGAUGCAGCGACGCCGCGUGAGCGAUGAAGCCCUUCGGGGCGUAAAGCUCUUUCGACCGGAACGAUAAUGACGGUACCGGGAGAAGAAGCUGCGGCUAACUACGUGCCAGCAGCCGCGGUAAUACGUAGGCAGCAAGCGUUGUUCGGAGUUACUGGGCGUAAAGAGUGCGUAGGCGGUUUUCUAAGUUCGGUGUGAAAUCUCCCGGCUUAACUGGGAGGGUGCGCCGAAGACUGGGAAGCUGGAGUGUGGGAAGGGCAGGCGGAAUUCCUGGUGUAGCGGUGAAAUGCGUAGAUAUCAGGAGGAACACCGGCGGUGUAGACGGCUUGCUAGACCAUAACUGACGCUGAGGCACGAAAGCGUGGGUAGCAAACA